AUUGAACGCUGGCGGCAGGCCUAACACAUGCAAGUCGAACGAGGGGCGGACGGGUGAGGAAUGUCUGGGAAACUGCCCGAUAGCGGGGGAUAACAACUGGAAACGGUAUCUAAUACCGCAUACCAUCGGAUGUGCCCAGUUGGGAUUAGCUAGUAGGGGGGGUAACGGCUCACCUAGGUGAAGAUCGCUAUCUGGUCUCAGAGGAUGCCACGCCACACUGGAACUGAGACACGGUCCAGACUCCUACGGGAGGCAGCAGUGGGGAAUAUUGCACAAUGGUCGCAAGUCUGAUGCAGCCAUGCCGCGUGUAUGAAGAAGGCUUUCGGGUUGUAAAGUACUUUCAGCGAGGAGGCGUUACUCGCAGAAGAAGCACCGGCUAACUCCGUGCCAGCCGCCGCGGUAAUUC
rnacentral:rRNA from 1 species